rnacentral:sRNA from 1 species
CUUCCCUACGGGGCGCUCAGGUCCGCCGCAUCUCCUGGGUCCGUGGGGCCGGCCAGAGCGGAAGCAAGCCGAAGAGUGGCCUCCUCGUAUGCUUGCUUCCGCCGGCCACCUU